CAAACCAAAGCUGGCGACCGGCGCACGGGUGAGUAACACGUAUCCAACCUGCCUCGUACUCGGGGAUAGCCUUUCGAAAGAAAGAUUAAUAUCCGAUAGCAUAUAUUUCCCGCAUGGGUUUUAUAUUAAAGAAAUUCGGUAUGAGAUGGGGAUGCGUUCCAUUAGUUUGUUGGGGGGGUAACGGCCCACCAAGACUACGAUGGAUAGGGGUUCUGAGAGGAAGGUCCCCCACAUUGGAACUGAGACACGGUCCAA
rnacentral:rRNA from 1 species